AAUCUCUAAGGAAACCAGUCUAUGGUACGUUUUUGAAGGUGUCGUCAUUGGCAGUUAUAGAGAGUAAAAAUCUUGAAAACGCAGUAUUUUUGAGAAAUCCAUAUACCUGAAUGUUGAGAUUGUUACAAAGAAGUGCUAUAGCCCCUUGUGUGUAAUUGAUUUUGUGUUUUCGUUGUUUGUGGUAAACGCAAUACGUAGGGUUUUUGAAAAUUGCAUGAAAUGGACUAUACGGACAAAAUGUUGUAAUGAGUAUGUAGGAACGUCUAUUGUGAUAUCCAUAUUUGUUCUGAUUAGCCUUGUGUAAUGUUUUCCCUUUUCAAGAGGGAACUUCGCCUAUUUCAC
rnacentral:lncRNA from 1 species